rnacentral:rRNA from 1 species
CCUACGGGUGGCAGCAGUGAGGAAUAUUGGUCAAUGGACGAGAGCCUGAACCAGCCAAGUAGCGUGCAGGAUGAAUGCCCUACGGGUUGUAAACUUCUUUUAUAUGGGAAUAAAACGUUCCACGUGUGGGGUUUUGUAUGUACCAUAUGAAUAAGGAUCGGCUAAUUCCGUGCCAGCAGCCGCGGUAAUACGGAGGACCCGAGCGUUAUCCGGAUUUAUUGGGUUUAAAGGGAGCGUAGGUGGAUUGUUAAGUCAGUUGUGAAAGUUGGCGGCUCAACCGUCAAAUUGCAGUUGAAACUGGCAGUCGUGAGUACAGUAGAGGUGGGCGGAAUUCGUGGUGUAGCGGUGAAAUGCUUAGAUAUCACGAAGAACCCCGAUUGCGAAGGCAGUUCACUGGACUGCAACUGACACUGAGGCUCGAAGGUGUGGGUAUCAAACAGGAUUAGAUACCCCGGUAGUC